UACGAAGGGGGCUAGCGUUGCUCGGAAUGACUGGGCGUAAAGGGCGCGUAGGCGGCUCAUACAGUCAGGCGUGAAAUUCCUGGGCUCAACCUGGGGACUGCGCUUGAGACGUGUGGGCUUGAGUGGGGAAGAGGGUCGCGGAAUUCCCGGUGUAGCGGUGGAAUGCGCAGAUAUCAGGAGGAACACCGAUGGCGAAGGCAGCUCGCUGGGACGGUACUGACGCUGAGGCGCGAAAGCGUGGGGAGCAAACAGG
rnacentral:rRNA from 1 species